GCGGUCUACAUUAGCCAUAAGUGAAACUUGACUUAGUCAAAGCUAAGAGGGUCGGUAAAACUCGUGCCAGCCACCGCGGUUAUACGAGAGACCCAAGUUGUUAGACACCGGCGUAAAGAGUGGUUAAGAUUUCCUUUAAUACUAAAGCCGAACGCCCUCAGAGUUGUUAUACGCAUCCGAAGGUAAGAAGCCCAAUCACGAAAGUGGCUUUAUAACAUCCGAACCCACGAAAGCUAUGGUACAAACUGGGAUUAGAUACCCCACUAUGCCUAGCCAUAAACAUUGAUAGCGAACUACACCUGCUAUCCGCCUGGGAACUACGAGCAUCAGCUUGAAACCCAAAGGACUUGGCGGUGCUUUAGAUCCACCUAGAGGAGCCUGUUCUAGAACCGAUUACCCCCGUUCAACCUCACCUUUUCUUGUUUUCUCCGCCUAUAUACCACCGUCGUCAGCUUACCCUGUGAAGGGCUCAUAGUAAGCAAGAUUGGCAUAGCCCAAAACGUCAGGUCGAGUGG
rnacentral:rRNA from 1 species